rnacentral:rRNA from 1 species
GACGAACGCUGGCGGCGGGCUUAACACAUGCAAGUCGAACGGAAAGGCCCUGCUUUUGUGGGGUGCUCGAGUGGCGAACGGGUGAGUAACACGGGAGUAACCUGCCCUUGACUUUGGGAUAACUUCAGGCAACUGGUGCUAAUACCGGAUAGGAGCUCCUGCUGCAUGGUGGGGGUUGGAAAGUUUCGGCGGUUGGGGAUGGACUCGCGGCUUAUCAGCUUGUUGGUGGGGGAGUGGCUUACCAAGGGUUUGACGGGUAGCCGGCCUGAGAGGGUGACCGGCCUCAUUGGGACUGAGAUACGGCGCAGUCUCCUACGGGAGGCAGCAGUGGGGAAUAUUGCACAAUGGGCGGAAGUCUGAUGCAGCAACGCCGCGUGCGGGAUGACGGCCUUCGGGUUGUAAACCGCUUUCGCCUGUGACGAAGCGUGAGUGACGGUAAUGGGUAAAGAAGCACCGGCUAACUACGUG